GUCCACGCCGUAAACGAUGUCUACUAGCCGUUGGGAGACUUGAUUUCUUAGUGGCGCAGCUAACGCUUUAAGUAGACCGCCUGGGGAGUACGGCCGCAAGGUUAAAACUCAAAUGAAUUGACGGGGGCCCGCACAAGCGGUGGAUCAUGUGGUUUAAUUUGAUGCAACGCGAAGAACCUUACCAGGUCUUGACAUCCAGAUAACUUGGCAGAGAUGCCUUGGUGCCUUCGGGAGCUCUGAGACAGGUGCUGCAUGGCUGUCGU
rnacentral:rRNA from 1 species